UUANNNGGUCUUGNNNUCCUUUGACCNCUCGAGAGAUCGAGCUUUCCCUUCGGGGACAAAGUGACAGGUGGUGCAUGGUUGUCGUCAGCUCGUGUCGUGAGAUGUUGGGUUAAGUCCCGCAACGAGCGCAACCCUUAUUACUAGUUGCCAGCAUUCAGUUGGGCACUCUAGUGAGACUGCCGGUGACAAACCGGAGGAAGGUGGGGAUGACGUCAAAUCAUCAUGCCCCUUAUGACCUGGGCUACACACGUGCUACAAUGGAUGGUACAACGAGUCGCGAAGUCGUGAGGCCAAGCUAAUCUCUUAAAGCCAUUCUCAGUUCGGAUUGUAGGCUGCAACUCGCCUACAUGAAGCCGGAAUCGCUAGUAAUCGCGGAUCAGAACGCCACGGUGAAUACGUUCCCGGG
rnacentral:rRNA from 1 species